GGAAUAUUGGGCAAUGGAUGGAAGUCUGACCCAGCCAUGCCGCGUGCAGGAAGACGGCCCUAUGGGUUGUAAACUGCUUUUGCAGGCGGAAAAAAGCGGGAUUGCGAUCCCGUCCGAUGGUAGUCUGCGAAUAAGAAUCGGCUAACUCCGUGCCAGCAGCCGCGGUAAUACGGAGGAUUCGAGCGUUAUCCGGAAUUAUUGGGUUUAAAGGGUGCGCAGGCGGACCGUUAAGUCAGCGGUGAAAAUCUGGUGCUUAACAUCAGGAGUGCCGUUGAUACUGGCGGACUAGAGUAUGAUUGACGUAAGUGGAAUGUAGCAUGUAGCGGUGAAAUGCAUAGAGAUGCUACAGAACACCGAUAGCGAAGGCAGCUUACGAAGUCACAACUGACGCUCAGGCACGAAAGCGUGGGGAGCGAACA
rnacentral:rRNA from 1 species